rnacentral:tRNA from 1 species
GGGAAUGUGGCUUAGUGGUAGAGCGCUUGCCUAGCAUGCAUAAAGCCCUGGGUUCCAUUCCUCAGCACCA